GUACACGCUGUGACUAGCAUAUCAAUAAGCGGAGGAAAAGAAACUAACAAGGAUUCCCUUAGUAACGGCGAGUGAAGCGGGAAGAGCUCAAAUUUGAAAUCUUCAAGGUUUUACCUUGACGAAUUGUAGUUUAAAGAAGUGUUUUCUGCUGAAGUUUUGGUAAAAGUUCUUUGGAAUAGGACAUCAUAGAGGGUGAGAAUCCCGUAUUUGACCAUUAUUUUCCGCUUUGUGAUACACUUUCAAAGAGUCGGAUUGUCUGGGAAUGCAGGCCAAAAUGGGUGGUAAAUUUCAUCUAAAGCUAAAUAUUGGCGAGAGACCGAUAGCGAACAAGUACCGUGAGGGAAAGAUGAAAAGAGCUUUGAAAAGAGAGUUAAACAGUACGUGAAAUUGUCAAAAGGGAAGCGUUUGACACCAGUGUUGUUUUCUCGAAAAUCAAUUAAAAAUGGCUCGAUUUUGUAUUGCUGAGACCUUAAAAGCUCACUGUACAUUUUUCGUGUCUUUUUUAAUGCACUUUUCGUUUAACAAGUCAACAUCAGUUUCUUUUGUUGUAAAAGGGUCAUUGGAAGGUGGCUUUCUUUUCGGAGAAAGUGUUUAUAGCCUUUGGCCUCUGCAAUCGAAGAGACUGAGGUCUGCAGCGUAGACUCUUCGGGGUUAGAUACAUUUGUGCUAAGUUAUAGCUUUUUAUAGACAACUUGUUGACUAUAAUUAGUCUUGUAGCUUACUCGCUUAUGCUAUUUUACCUACGCUUAGGAUGUUGAUCUACAGAGCGAGAGU
rnacentral:rRNA from 1 species